AUGAAUGGGAUUUUUCGGCAGCAGGGAGAUUUGCGAUUUUGCGAGAGAGGAGGGGAAUCUGCGGGCGGCAAGUCGUCGUUGUGCUUGGCAUCGAAUGCAUUAUUUCUAUUGGCAGCUCAUGAGGAAAGUUGGGAAUCAACUGCAUUUGUUGUGAUCGAUUUGUACAAAGGAUACUUGCUUUUGCAAUGUAUUGCCUCGAGUAGUGGCCAGUGCUCAGAAUAUGAUACCGUGAGUCUGCCUAUCAUUUCAGAACAUUCAGCAACUGAACCUUUUUAUCUCUUCUCCGGUUAUUUAAUCGAGUUCAAGUUUCAGUAUGUUAUAUUCAAGUAG
rnacentral:rRNA from 1 species